GACGAACGCUGGCGGCGUGCUUAACACAUGCAAGUCGAACGGAAAGGCCCUGCUUUUGUGGGGUGCUCGAGUGGCGAACGGGUGAGUAACACGUGAGUAACCUGCCCUUGACUUUGGGAUAACUUCAGGAAACUGGGGCUAAUACCGGAUAGGAGCUCCUGCUGCAUGGUGGGGGUUGGAAAGUUUCGGCGGUUGGGGAUGGACUCGCGGGUUAUCAGCUUGUUGGUGGGGUAGUGGCUUACCAAGGCUUUGACGGGUAGCCGGCCUGAGAGGGUGACCGGCCACAUUGGGACUGAGAUACGGCCCAGACUCCUACGGGAGGCAGCAGUGGGGAGUAUUGCACAAUGGGCGGAAGCCUGAUGCAGCAACGCCGCGUGCGGGAUGACGGCCUUCGGGUUGUAAACCGCUUUCGCCUGUGACGAAGCGUGAGUGACGGUAAUGGGUAAAGAAGCACCGGCUAACUACGUG
rnacentral:rRNA from 1 species